UUUAUCAUUAAUGUGAAGAGUAGCUUGUGCUGCAGAGCUUACCCACAGCAGAACAUUUGGCAUGCUUAUGAGCGAUGGAGGAAAUCUAUAGGAAUGAUGAAUAUGACGACUGUGCUGACUUAAGAGCAUCCCAGAAUCAGAGAGGUCCCAGGAGCUCAGAGAGGAGAUUUCAUGGAUCUGUUGUUCUCUGUCUGGGUCUGCUCACUGUUCUCCUGCUGGCUGGACUCAUCUGCCUCUGUGUCCACUGUGCAGUGAGGAAAAAUCGCAUGACAGACAAAGCCACUGUACGGAGCCUCUAAAGGGACAUGGGGAAAAAAAUGAAACGUUUCUAGUGCGCACUAGAUAUGGAUCCGGUGUUGUGGCGAAUCAACACAUGGCUAAUUUUAAUAUUCAAAUGAGUAUUAAACUAAUUUGUCUGUAACUAAAAAUGAGUUUGAAUUUGUCAAGAAAUCAGAUUAAUGAGUCAGUUUGUUAAAAAUAAUUUAAAAAAAAUACAUAAUACAGAGCAUUGUAUUAAAAAAAACAUAAAUUCAUUUAAAUCACUUGUUUUACACAAACUUCUUGCAGUGACUGAGUUCAUUAUUUGGGUUAAUUGUACAGCUUUGUAUAUAAAAUGAAAUAGCCACGACAGAUUGAUCUUUCCUUCUCUGACUGUUACUGCUACUUGCAAGCCAUAGCUAUAAAAAGAAACGGUGUAUGGGUGUCACUGUGGACGGACACUGCCAUCACAUCAUCUUGGGUCAACCAGAUCAGGAAUAUCCAGCUUAUCUGGAUCUUUCUGGCCAAACUGGUUCAGGAAGACCACCAUCUUAAUGAAGCAGCAGGUCAGGAUGAAGGACAUGCUUUUGUCUUUGUGGGAGAGUCUGUGGAGCAACUCUUUGAAGUUGUCUGUGGCAAAAUUUUGCAACUCUGUUGCCAUUAUUUUAUAAUGCUCCUUUUUUAGUAACCUGGUGUCCGGCAUAGGACUACAGUCAAGAGGUGAAAGCCACUAUUGUGGAGUGUACUCCAACAUGCAAAUCAGCAUGCAUGAACUCAUUAACACUAGCAUGGGCUUCAAAUUCAUCCAGAAGUGGAGUUUUGGACGCAGUAAAAGUCCAUAUGGGUGUUUUCAAGGACAUCUUUAUUGUGUUGCUACAACUGUCCGCUCUGUUGAUGUAAAAAAUGGUGACAUUAUUCUGGGAUUUUCUUACUGGGACUCUAUUGCUGCUCUAUGAAAGGAAGAUGCCAGGGGUGCCAAAUGUGGCACAGUGGGACGAGACAAUUAAACAGUUUUUUGUUCA